AAGUUGAGAGAGGGAGAGAGGGAGAGAGGGAGAGAGGGAGAGAGAGAGAGAGGAGAGAGAGAGGGAGAGGGAGAGGGAGAGNCUCUCCCUCUCCCUCUCCCUCUCUCUCUCCUCUCUCUCUCUCUCCCUCUCUCCCUCUCUCCCUCUCUCAACUUCACUACGC
rnacentral:sRNA from 1 species